rnacentral:lncRNA from 1 species
UUUUAUACAGGGGAUAACUACCUCAAGCAUGUACUUAAUCAGAAUUAAAUGUUCAACAUUUAAAUAUUAGUGGCACCUGGAAGUUAGGCUUAAUUCAUAAAUCAAGACUUUAUGGCAGGUGAUAUUUAUGGCAAUUCUUGCUGGGAGAAAUAUUAAAAUUUGUAAGAAUUGUAAAUGGUGUAACACAAAAUGUUGCAGUCCCUGCUCAUAAUUGAUGACUUCCUCUCGGAUGUAUGGAAUAAAUUAAUUUCAUUGCUGUAUGGAUGACAUUAAUAUGAUUUUAUAAUUAAUUUAGUUCUGAGAUCUGCUUGGGGUGCCAGAUUUCACUGGAGGAAGGAAAUGGCUCAAGGAAAAAGGUACAAGCAUGUGAGUGCAGAUACCCUCCAGAAGAGGGUGUAAGUCCCUUGGAACUGGAGUUACAGGUGCUGGGAACUAAACUCCAGUCCUCGGUGAGAGUAGUGAGCAGGCUUAAAAGAUGAAGCAUUCCCCUUUCUGCCGACUCAUCACAGACCAGACCAGAGUCCUCAUCCAGUGGCUGAUGGAAGCAGAGACAGACAUCCACAGAAAUACACUGAGCUGAAAUCUGGAACCUAGUUGAAGAGAGGGAGGAAUGAAGAACGAAGGGGUCUGUACCAGGUUGGAGAAACCCACAGAAACAGUUGGCCUGAAAAAGGGAAAGCAUAUGGACCCCAGACGCUCUUUGGGAGGCCAGUACGGGACUAAUCCAGCCCCUGAUCAUGGAUGCCAAUGGGGAGGCCCCUGCACUCCUGGGAGCCUCCGGAGGUGGACUGGUGUUUUGCCCUGUUGUGUGUGGGGGACUUCAAGAGCCCAUCCCACUUGAAGGGAUGCACUCUGUCUCUGAACACAUAGGGAGGGACCUAGGCCCAGCACAGGAAGAUUUGGUGGACUUGAUGGAGCCCUGGUUGGGGGCCCUACCCUGCCUGGGGAGUGGUGGG